ensembl:lncRNA
AAUGAGACCGGCUAUUAGUUACAUUGCAGGUGUUGCCUUGCAGCAUGGAUCUAAUGUCUCAACCUUCUGUCCCAGCGAAAGGGCAGCGUGUCCUUACGAAGCUACGCAAGGGUCUCACGACAACAAAAACCCAACAAAGUGAAGAGAAUGACAGAGCUGAAUCUUACCAGGCCAACGGUAGCAGGUUGUGUUGCCUUUUUUCACCAGUUGACGUCCACCGACUUGGCAGUUAUCUUGAGUUUGACAGUGUAUGCGGCUAAAGGGCCAUGUCUGUCUAUCUGGAUGGUUCAAUCUCUCUGGCGUUUUUCAGAUAUGAAACUCAUGUUUUUUUUGUGUGUGUUUUUUUUUUCUUGUUAGCUAACUGAACUUGUAGUCCCACCCUUUGAAUUCAAAUAAUUUGCAGUUGCUCUCUGGACCAGAUAUGAAGAGGGGCUCCAGAGAGAAAGACCCACACCCAUAAACACAUGUGUUUGGAGGAAGUUGGCUGUGGAGGAACUGGUGAAGUCAGCACGCAGAUGUUAAGGCCUUGAUAUUGUUUCUGCAAGUAACAUGAAAUCAAAAUAACCCAAUUUACUUUUCAAAUGCAUUUCUGGUCUUGCUUUGCAUGAAAAAAGGAAACAAAAUGUGGUCUUUAAACAAAAGGUACAACUUUUCUUUUUUUGGCUAACAUCCCCAUGCCCUCUUUUCAGCUCUUCUCUUUUAACCAUCUGUCUCCAUUCUGAAAUGAACUGAUGCUGGCUGUCAGCAGCCACAGAUGCCGAACAGACCGAGGGGACGCAGGCUGCACUGAGACACCCCCGCCAACUACAGCUGGAUCAUAUGGGCAAGGAUA